rnacentral:rRNA from 1 species
GACAGAGGAGCCAAGCGUUGUCCGGAUUGACUGGGCGUAAAGCGCACGCAGGCGGUCGUGCACGUGGGGUGUGAAAACUGGCGGCUUAACUGCCAGAGGCCACCUCAUACGGCGCGACUCGAGCCCUGCAGAGGUCCAUGGAAUUGCCGGUGUAGUGGUGAAAUGCGUAGAGAUCGGCAGGAACACCCAGGGGGAAACCAGUGGACUGGGCAGGAGCUGACGCUCAGGUGCGAAAGCGUGGGUAGCAAACAGG